rnacentral:rRNA from 1 species
UACGUAGGGUGCAAGCGUUAAUCGGAAUUACUGGGCGUAAAGCGUGCGCAGGCGGUUUUGUAAGUCUGUUGUGAAAUCCCCGGGCUCAACCCUGGGAAUGGCAAUGGAGACUGCAAGGCUAGAGUUUGGCAGAGGGGGGGUAGAAUUCCACGUGUAGCAGUGAAAUGCGUAGAUAUGUGGAGGAACACCGAUGGCGAAGGCAGCCCCCUGGGUCAAAACUGACGCUCAUGCACGAAAAGCGUGGGGAGCAAACAGG